rnacentral:rRNA from 1 species
AAAGGAAUUGACGGGGGCCCGCACAAGCAGUGGAGUAUGUGGUUUAAUUCGAAGCAACGCGAAGAACCUUACCAGGGCUUGACAUCCCUUGCAUAUCGUAGAGAUACGAGAAACCCUUCGGGGCAAGGAGACAGGUGGUGCAUGGUUGUCGUCAGCUCGUGUCGUGAGAUGUUGGGUUAAGUCCCGCAACGAGCGCAACCCCUGUUGUUGGUUGCCAUCAUUAAGUUGGGCACUCCAGCAAGACUGCCGGUGACAAAUCGGAGGAAGGUGGGGACGACGUCAAAUCAUCAUGCCCCUUAUGUUCUGGGCUACACACGUACUACAAUGGCUGUUACAGAGGGUAGCGACUGCGCAAGCAGGAGCAAAUCCCUAAAAACAGUCCCAGUUCGGAUUGUGGGCUGCAACUCGCCCACAUGAAGUCGGAAUUGCUAGUAAUUGCAGGUCAGCAUACUGCAGUGAAUACGUUCCCGGGCCUUGUACACACCGCCCGU